AACGAACGCUGGCGGCGUGGUUUAGGCAUGCAAGUCGAGCGAGAAAGUCCUUCGGACGAGUACAGCGGCGAAAGGGUGAGUAAUAUAUAGGUAACCUACCUCUUGGACUCGGAUAAUUCCUGGAAACGGGUUGUAAUACGAGAUCGUCCUAUUGGGUCGCAUGGCCCGACUGGUAAAUGGGAGCUCUGCUUCUGCCGAGAGAGGGGCCUAUAUCCUAUUAGCUAGUUGGUGAGGUAAUGGCUCACCAAGGCUUUGAUGGGUAGCCGGACUGAGAGGUUGGCCGGUCACACUGGGACUGAGACACUGCCCAGACUCCUACGGGAGGCUGCAGUCGAGAAUCUUCCGCAAUGGGCGAAAGCCUGACGGGGCGACGCCGCGUGAACGAGAAGGCCUGGUGUAAGUUCUGUCAGUGGGAA
rnacentral:rRNA from 1 species